ensembl:lncRNA
CUUGAAAAGACACAGCGCGCACAUGUAAACAAAUGCACAUGUUUUCACGCUUGGACACUUUUGGCUUUAUUGAAAAACUUUAAUCGCCUCGUCAGGAUUAAACAGGGAUGUUCCCUUCUCGGAAAAAUCGCACCAUCCUUGGAUAUUUAGCAAAAGUUGUAUCAUCAGAACAAUGAGGAGGAAAUGGCUGCUGCGACACUGGAGCGUGUCUGCUGGACUUACUGUCUGUGUCUGCAGGUGAGUUUGAACUAAGAGGUUUGUUCAUAUUAGAUUUGUAAACUUGCUUGUAAUUGGACCACGUGACCUUCAAGCUCUCACUGCAGAUAAACAGUUAAGGAAACCAUAAUUUCCGCACAGACUCUCGAGCGGUUAAAUAUAUAUUUUCUUUUUUGUUUGAUGACUCCAUAAACCAAAAAAAUCAGUCAGAGACGGUGUGAGGAGGUUAAAAACUUUCUGCGCAUACUUUAUGCUUCUCUCUGUGCGCUCUCACAUAAAAACAAGCCGUUUUGUUUUCUUUUUUCUUGUGUGCCUAACCGACCGUUUGAGCGCCUCCCACUUCACGUCAUAUAAAGUAAAACUUUUCAAAGUACAAUGAUAAAUGCGGCACUAGCUGUGCAAAUGAGACUUGACACAGUAUUUGGCUUCUAUUAUUUACACCAUUUCUCUUUUUUUUAUACAUUGCAGUCAGUUUUAUUUAAAAAAUUAUAUAAAAUGUGACUGAUUAAACUGAUCAAACAGAAGAAAAGUCAUUCCCGCAGCCACAGUCUCUGUGCUGCACUCUGCAUCAUUUUGUAAACAUCAUAAAAGUCACUACUACAAUUUUCAUUACUUUAUUCUUGUUGGCACUAAAUGUUUCUCAUAUUGUGACCUUUGUUGCCAUCUGUUGGUUGAAAUAAGCAUAACAAUCUCUGUAACACUUCUCAGAAGCACUCGGAUUUCCUUUAAAUGCCCAUUGUGUUCCUAAUGCUCCACAUCACACUGCUAAAGGUUUCAUCAGUGAAAUGUUGAAGAACUGAAUCAAAUUCAAAGCCCUGAGGAUCAUUUAGCAUCUGUGUAAUAUUUUGGCAUCAUGCAGUAUUCCUCCUGUGUGCUUUGAAGCUGCUGUGUACGUGUUUAUGACCCCACCCAGUAGUGGUUAACACUAACUUGAUGUAUUUGUUGAUUCAUUAAAUAUUAAGGCCAAGUUUGUCCUGAAGUAGGCCACAGUUGUUGAUCUAAUCCAAUACUGACAAAGUUAAGGAAGAACUUAACAUGUCUGAGCAGGGAUAGCUCAGUAGGUAAAGUGGUUGCCCCAUAAUCAGAAGGUUGGGGGUUUGAAUCCACUGAACGGCUACCCUGAAGUACCCCUGCGCAAGGUACCUUACACACUGCUCCCUGGGCACUGGCUUGGUGGCUGCUCACUCAUUCACUGAAUGGGUUAAAUGCUAAGAGGAAUUUCCCUACAGGGGAUGUAUGAAGUAUACAUUGAAAUAUGAGUCAUUUAUGUCAUCUUUCCUACAUGCUUUCUUCCUUAAAAUUGCACAACACAACACCCAGCCUACCCGCAUUUCCCCCCCUCUUUUAUGCAAAUGAAAGAUGCUGGUAAGUGAAAGUGUGAAGAACACUUUCACUGCAGGUCAGGCUGCGAACACUUCACUUUCCAGCCUCCACUCACAGAUGGAGUCCCCCAUAAUCUUCCUGUUUGUGAUUUCUGGCUCUGUAGCCCUGCAGCAGAAUCUGCAGGUGAAGCUUGGAGAGGACAUCACUCUCCAGUGUCAGAUUACCACAGAUGAAAAAAUCUCAGUGCUGAAGUGGAGCAGACCUGACCUGAACACAGACGGCUACGUCUACUUCUACAGGAACAAACGCUCCUAUGAAAACUACCAACAUCCAUCUUUUCAUGGAAGAGUGAAGCUGAGGGACCCAGAGAUGACAGAUGGGGACGUUUCACUGAUCCUGAACAACAUCACGUUUAAUGACACUGGGAUGUAUGAGUGUCAUGUAGCAGUGAGGAACCCUGUGAGAAGUAAAAGACUUCACACUGAGAUCAGUCACUUCAUUGACCUCACAGUCACAGGUGAAACAGAUGAAAAGUUGUUGCAGCAGCGACUCGUGGAAAGUGAAGCUGGAAAAGUGCAGGAUGUGGGAGAUGUAGUAACUCCAACUGUUAUAAUGGUUGUUUGUUAUGUUGCGGUUGCUGUUAUUGUUGUUGGUUUUCUGACAUUAUUCAUAUUUAAAAGAUUUCAGUUAAAAGGACUAGAUGUUACAGUCCCUGAUAAUGCAUUGCUUUAAAUGGCGAGAAUCUUGAGGGAUGGCUGCUAUGAGGAAAGGCAGCCCAGAGACAUCGUUGUGUGCCUCAACUUUCGGUCUUUUAUCCAGGCUAAUCUGCCAUUUUUAGGAGGAUUAGAGAUCAGAUCUAGAUAUCAUAUUAAGAUUUGGGACACAUCGUCAGUAGUCGACCUUGGAUUCAUCGGGUGUUUCGGCCAUUAUCAUUAGACACCCUCAUCAAGGAGGCCCUGCCAGGGUUGAUCAGGCCCUGGAGUCACUGGUUUAUGUUAAAUUGUUAUUUCUCUUCUUCUUUCUUCUGUUUAGUUUCCUACAGUUUAUUUUCUAUCUAUUCACUGCAACUGAGAAAUAAUGCUUACCUCUUUAGCAUUUAUGAAGCCCUACUUCUUUAAAGGGAUAGAAAAGGUGAUAGAGAGAAAUAAGACAAAAGGGACGAGAUAGGAGAGAGCAGAGAGGAGAGCCGGAAGGGGGGCGCCUGAUCUGGCUUCCCACACCUCCCCGCUGGAUCAGGCUGUACGCUCUACCUCCCCACUGCCUCCCAGAAAAGCGAAGAAGAGCAGAGGGGAGAAGAGCGGAACAUUUCUUUUCUCUCGUGGUUAGCUGACUGCCGUAGCUGCCCAAGUGUUGUCAGCCCUUUUUAGCCAUAGCCAGUGACUGGUCCUCUCAACAGUGUUAGCUAGUUCUCUUAUAGCCUGCAGUUGCGCCUGUCCUCUGAUUCCAGUCUCUCUAAGCAGUUUUGCUGUUGUACUGAAAGCUCCUGCACCCCACUUCCACCGGGCGCACCUUGAUCUUCCAGCCUCUGUCCUCUGCCUCAGCUGCCAAGUUGGCAUACCGCAGCUUCUUACGCUGCUUCCUCCCCUGGUACCAUCAGCUCAAUGACGUACGCAAGUUUUUGGGAGUUAGACCAAAGGUGAGGUCUGGUUGCAGAGUAGUUGUUACGAUCUCUGUGGGGGAAAUUAGCCUCUGAUCCAAGUCCACUUUUAUCUGCCAAUCCCAGAUGCAGCUUUCAGUCUGGAGUAAGAGGAAGUCGAUUUAACAUGUCCGGAAAUAUGAUUUUAUAAAAAGAAACAUUACAGAUUUGAUGAACUAACAUUGAUGGCAGCUUUGCCAGGCAGCUAAGCAACAUGGACUUCUAGUUUAAAAGUGAAAAAUAAGAAAUAAAAAAACUGUUCUGUGGUUAUCAAAAACAUAACAGCUCCUCAAACUCCUCAAAUAAACAGCAAAUUCAGCCUGGAGCUUCUCACUGAAAAUAAACAUAAUAAAAUAAAUAGAAAAUUCUGGAAAAAAAAAUCACAAAAAAUGCUUCUGAUUGGUGCUAAAAAAAGGAUUCAGACUGUAAGAGUUACUGAAUUGUUUGUUGUUUGUUUACUGUCAUCAGUCUGUGUUUGAUGUUGAUCCAGGAUAAUGUGAACCAACGAUCCUUGUAUCGUCACCAGAGUUUGCACAAAGUCGUAUGGUGCUGUUUAAUAACAAAUGUGUGUUUAGCUCAGUGUCAGUGUCCUUUGCACGAGUGGUCAACUGCUGCUUUGAACUCUUUGAUCUAUUUUUUUUGUAAACGCUGUAUACUGGUUUGUUCUGGUUUCUGUCUGUUGUGUAGUAACUGUUCACCUGUACAUCUGCCCUAAUUACCAGUAUGAGGUUCAGAAAUGUCUUGGCCAUCAAAUUAUUAAUUAAUAAUUAAUUAAUAAAAAAUGGAUAAAAACUGAAAAAGGAAACUUGAAAUGUGUCACAACUUUCUUUCAGAUGUGUUUUGUGUCAGUGAUCAUGUCCUGGAAUGAAUGGGGAAGUUUGUAUGACUCAUUACUGUUGACAUUGAUGUGACAUUUUUUUUAUGCUUCAGUGGUUAAUGAGGGGAGUUUGUGAGCUGUAACAAAUGUAACGUUCUCUCUCUUUCUCGUUUUGCUCCCUGCACACAUCCAUCAGUGUGGGUGAAGUCUCUGCACUGUCUCUAAGAUGUUGUCACAGAUGAGUUGUCUCAACGUCCUCCUGAUUACAUUUCUAAUUCCUGCAUCUUCAUGUGAUUGACACUGAAUUGUUUAUUUAUUUACUAUAAGUCAGAGUAAUCUUGUAAAAUGUUUCUUUUUGUGUAUUCUUUUGCACACAUAAUCAGACAAAAAUAAGCAGUGUGCCUACACACCCGUAACUGUCUGCAGUUCUUUGCAACAAUGUGUUGCUGCAGUGAAAUGAACAAACAAAUCUGUCAGAUCUAUCUAUAGCUCAUCAAUCUAUUUUUGCACCAGAGGUUGUGUAGUCAGGCAUGCUAUUACUUGUUGAGCCCAUGAAAAAUGUACUAAAUCUUGUCUGCCAAACAGUUUGUUCUGCUCUUGUUUGGUGUCAUUUAAUUGGCCCAGCUAAAGGGAAAUAAACAGGCUUUCCAACAUUAAAAGAUUUACUGCCAAGAAGGAUUUUUACAACAAAGAAAUAAUCAACCAAACACAAAUUUCCUUCUGUGCUAACUUUAUGUGGUGUAAAUAUUACUAGGGUGACGUACUGUGACGCCACAGCUGGGAGGACACACAGCAUGCUGAGUGUCUAACAUGAAUCUUAUUUUGAUCUAUAAUAAUCCUCCUAUCUUUGUCUCUAAUUGUUGCAUCUACAGGUGAGUGAAACAUGUUUUUAUUUUCAUUAGCAUUAUUUAAAGUAAAGAGUUAUUCAUUAAACUCAAGUGUUUAAUGAUGAAACUGCAGAUGCUGUUGACACUGCUGCAGAUUGUGGGAAGGGGUUAGUUGCUUUUCCAAUAGCAUGUUCAGAGUUUUGUAAAUGCAGUGGUGGGGUUAUAUUUGAUCAGAAAUUAAAAAGCAGUGCAGAUAAUUUGUGUGGAAAUCUGUGAUUUUCAGGCUUAUGUUCAGCUCUCAUACAGACUGAUCACUGAAAAGUGUCUGCAUAACAGGUUAAUGACUCCUAAGUGAAAUGGUGAUCAUAU